rnacentral:lncRNA from 1 species
GCCAGUAGGCUUACGUGUUUACCGCGUAGGGCAAAGCCUUGCCAAAUUCCCGGCCAGCGGAGCGGCGAGGGUGGGGACUCACGGGAAGUUAAACAGCCUCGUCGGCGUCCUCGUCGGCGUCCUCGCGGCUCCAAAACCAGGCUCUAGGCGGGGACGACUGCAGCCGUUAUGGAGGCCACCGCGGCUACGGCCGCGGCUGAGGCCUCCCCAGGUGGAGCGGUGGCCUGGAGGGGAAUCUUGAUCCUGGGCCAGCCACCUGUCAAGAGGAGGCGGAGCGUCAUGCCCCUGGAAGACUGGAUGAAUAUUCUCCAGGAGCCUGACGAAGGCGAAGAAGUCUUUGCAGAGGAAAUUGAAUGCUGUCUGAUGCUACAAUUCAUAUGGAUCCUUUCCUGGAUUGAAGCCUGACUUUUAAAAACAGUUUCAAUAAAUUGCUUAUACCUAUGAAGAGAUGCAAAAGAACCUUCCAAAUAAAGCAAAGGACUUGAAGAAAGAGAAGGAAGACAUGAAGAAGAGGAUGUCAUUUAGGUGAAGGUGAUGGAUACAGAAUCUGAGUCUGAGGGGAGCCUGGUUGACAGACAGACAAAAAAAGAAAUUUUUUUUUUUCUGACAAAAAAAAAAAGGAAAUUUUGUUAACAAAAUCAAGAAUUUUAAAAAAAUGCUGUGAGAGCUGAUCUAUGCAUCUGGUUUGUGAGCCAGUAUUCUGUGAUGGCUGCAGUUUUGAGAGAUCCUAGUAGCUCUACACAUCUGUCUUCUGCUUUCCUAGAACCUGGGCACCCCAUGGAUGACUCACUGCUGGUUUUGGGUGUGUGUGUUUGUGAUUUAAAAUUACAUUCAGUCAACUCUAUAGCCCUAUGGGCUUUUUGAAUAACCAAGUGCUCAACAGUUCUGUAAUCUUUCAGGUUGCUGUGAUCAGUCCCCAAGGAGUCUACACUCUCAAAGAGAUUGGGAAAGGCCUGUGAGACAAUGGGAUUCUUUUUUCUAGAGGGCCAUGCUGGAUAAGGAGCUGGCUGCCUCUGUGAACAUCCUACUCAAGGCAUCUUCACUGUGAGUUUUGCUGUUGCCAUUGGAGGGGGAGUGGGGGGAGUGUGGGGAGUGCUAGGGUCAGGUCCUGGCUGGUGUAAAGAACACUGAAUUAAAGGAAUUGUCAGAAUAACUCAAAGGCAUUUAGAUAAUCAACAGUCCAUUUCAGUGUUUUUAUUCAGAGAUCGAUCGAUCAGUGGGAUGUUGUCCAACAAAAGCAAAAAUAGACUGUAUAGAGAAGGAAGGAAAAACUGCAUAAUUUAGGAACAGUGUAUCUUGUUUGCACAUUCUUUGGUUAAAUCAAUUAGCCUGCUGUUAGGAAGGAAGUCUGGGCAUUUUAUCCUUGAGUAAACCAACUAGGGAUAUCAGAGAAAACAGUUUCCAAUGCUUUUGGAUUCUCCAGAAAACAGACAGUUUAGCAUAUAUGACAGGCUGCUUCUGGGUAUUGUCUACCUUUCAUUUCAUUAACAACUUCACUUUAGAAGCCUGGUCUGCACCAUUUCCCUCAUCACAAUACUUUAGCAUCCUGGCACUAGCUGUGCAGGAUUUGUCGUACGUCUUCCUUUCCCUGAUGAUCAUGUUUCUCAUUUCCUUCCCUCUCUCCCUUACACCCUCAAAAGAGAGAGACAUAAUAUACAUUCUCUAGGUCAUAUAAGCUAUAUAAUGAAAGCUACCUUUUUCUCCCCAGUGAUGUUAUUUUCUCAGUGGCUCAC